UUUCCCAGCUCACUCAGCCUGUCCCAGCUUCCUUUCUGCCCUUCCCCGACCUCUUGCAGCUCCACUCCAGUGCUCCUUUGGGGAGGAGCUGCCAGAACUGCAGCCAGGAUUUCAAGUCCAUGCUAAGCAGGAUUUAGGCAAUGCCACGAGGAUGUGCUCAUCACCAGGGAGGAAGGGAAGAGCAAACACCCCCAGCAUUUCCUUCCCUGGGGUUGGGCUGACAGCAGUGGUUUUCCAGCUCUCCUGUGUAGAGCUUCCACGGCUCCAUCCCCGAGAGCCCCACUGCCCUCUCUUGGAGCAGCAAUGGCCAGAUCAGUCUGUCAUUCUCUGCUGCCACUCACGAUGAGUUCUCCCCUUGCAGGCAACACGUCCUGGUGUGGAUCAGCACUUGGCUUUCCUCUCUUCUCUCCCCACUGGCUGCUGUCAGAUGGCCAAGGCCAAACACCUUUCUAUUAACAGCAAACUUGGUCUUCUCACCCCUCCUUCCAGAUCCAGAUAUUUAGAAAUAUGAACGUGGGUUUGGACACAAGGAAUUCCCCAAACCAUGCAAUGUCCAUAGAGACAGUGUGGAUAUUGAGAACUAAAGCUUCUAGGGCACGGAAGCCCAGCAUGGAGGAAAAUCAGCAGCCUCAGCAUUAACGGGCUUUGGCAUGACUACAACAUCAUCUCCUCCUUAUUCAGAAGAAUGCAAUUGGAAAAGUUUAACUGGAAAAAGGCUCUCCAAUUUCCUCUUCAGAGAUGUCAGCUCCUGGUGAAGAGUCACAGUUUCUUCCUGUCUUUCAGAGGCCUCUUUCUCCAGGGCAGUUUCUCAAGAAAUGUGCUUGACUGCUGCCUCCCACCAAUCUGCAGCAGGGAAAGGGAAGGAGAAGGGGAAAAGCAAAGCAAAGGCAAACUGAUGUGCAUCCUGCAGAGACAACAGCACUGUCUUCUCUGCCUGUCUGAGUUUGCCAGGCUCUGAGCCCACAAGGGCUCCAAAGCUGACAGAAAUGAAGACAACUUCCAGGCAGAGAAAAAAGCAGGAAUGAAAGGGGCAAGGUUCAGAGGGAUAGGAAAGUAUGUUUGCUCUUGGCCUUGUGCAGAGUGAACAACCCAAGAGAGACAAAGGCGAGGGGAUGCCUGUGCAGCCCUGCUCCAGAGAGGCCAAUAGCCUGGAGGCUCUGGCAGGGCCUGGAGUUUGGGGGAAUUGAGCUGAGGCAUCCAGCUACAGCUCCUUAGCACAGAGACGGCACCUGAAAGGCUCCAGCUGUGCACAGGAUCAGCCAUGGCACAGCCAGGUGGCACUGCCAGCCACAGCAUCUUUCUCAAGAAAAAACUUUCACUGGCACUUGGAUGGAUAAAUCUCCUGCUGGUUGUUUUUCCCCUCUGCCAUCUCUGGGCACUUUUCCUCUGCAAGCCAUCAGCGAGAUCCCCACAGGUGAGACAGGAUGGGGCAGUGGGUAGGAGAGGAGAAGCUGUACCUUGCUCGCUUUGCUCCAGCUGUUUCAGCAGCUCCUGAUUGUGGGCUCUGAGAUGGUCCCUCUGAGCCUGUGUCUUCCUCAGCUCCAGCUCCAUGUCCUUACACUGUGUGGCAAUGGCCUCUGCUCUUUCCUCAGAGCUCUGGAGCUUCACACGCAGCUCAGAGACCUCAGUUUCCAGCAGCUGCUUCUUUUGAGUUGCCUGGUGAGCUGUCUUCUCUAUCUCUGCCAGCAGCAUGGCCUGCAUCUGGAAGAUGGAUGCACAGAGCCUCAGGGACAGGGCUGCUCCUGAGGCUGCAGAGUGGGCCGUAGGGAGAGCAACAAAGAAGAAAUUAUUUCAGGCAAAAACCAUGCCAAAACCAGAAGCAAGGAUUCCAAUGGUGACAUUGGAGAGAAAGACAUGGAGAGACACGUGCAGAGAAAAGAGGGAAAAGAAGGCAAUGGGCACCCUUGAGGCUGCAGCUCUGAACAGCAGCUGAGAUGGCUGUGCUGGAAAUGCCCUGCCCAGCCUGCCAUAGCCACCUCUGUGUCCCCACAUUGCUCAGUGCCUGGCACAGGCACCAACUCUGUCUGGGACAACACUGCUAACUGAGGGACAGAGAAGCUCCAGAGGAGUCUGCUGCUGCUCCCCUCCCAGAUUUCCUGCUGGGACCGGAGAGAGAAUGGGGGGGAAACUUCGGCAGCAGACAGCAGAUCCAGCCUUGGCCUCAGCAUGCAGCAGCAGCCUCGGGCAGAACACGGCAGCUGUGCAUGCUGCUGGGAGGGGAAAGAUGUUGGGGCCUCCAAGCCAAAGGUGCUGUUGUGUGUCUCUGGAGAAGAGGAUGCCACUGCACAGCUUACCUGGGUGUUGAGCUCCUGCAUUUGUCCUCUAUGCUCAGAACAGUGCUGCUCUGCCUGCUGAAGAGCAGAAAAUAACUGAGACAUGCUAUUUUUCAAUUCUAGGUUCUGUUCUUCCAGCGUUCUGAGGCACUGGUUCUUCUACUUCAGAGACAGAAUCAGCCUAGAAGGAAAGUCUGAGACAGCCCCAGAAUCAGUCCCACAGUGCCCUGUCACAGCCUCCUGAGAGCCUGGGCUGCCCCAAGGGCUCUGUCUGUGGAGACCCUUCCACGCACAGCUGAACAGGAGAAUCCCAAACAUCUGCCUGGAGUCACCAAGAGUGUGUCCUGACUUCCCUUUAAUGUUCUGAAUUAGGAAAAUUCUCCCAAUCUGUUGACAAAAAUCCUCUCAAUAUGUGGAUAAAUGCACUCUUACAGUCUGCUGGGCUUUACAUUCAAAGCAUUCGUAGUGUACACUAUGAGCUGUAUAGUUGAGAUAAACUUCUAUAUAUCUAAUUAUUA